UAUGACUCAACACGGGAAACCUUACCAAGCCCGAACUUAUUGAGGUAAGACAGGCCAUGGUGCAUGGCCGUUCUUAGUUCGUGGUAUGAUUUGUCUGGUUAAUUCUGAUAACGACUCUCAUUCACGCGACGACAAACUGUCAAGUCACUUUCGCGCUUGUUGUCCUUCAAGCUGUCACUUGUACACGCUCAAAAGAUUCAUGCGAUAUAAUGAUUGUAUUAAAAUGAACCAAACACACGGAGCCACAAAUCAACCCAACUUUGACUUCUUUUGACGCAAUUCGGCUCUUCCGUGGGAAGAAAGUCGAAGAAGGAAGUUCUUGUAGUUCGGAAGUUCUUGUAGAAGUUUUAU
rnacentral:rRNA from 1 species